CUCAGCUCCACCUCUGCGGCUGGCCCGGUCUCCGCAAACCUUUUUCUGCUUGGCCAGCUGGUGCCAUGCUAGGCUUUCCCACUAGGGGCGCCAGAGAAAGCGCGCGAGGCUGCGGAGGAGAGAGGGGCACACUCUUUCCGGUUUGCUUCCGGUUUUUUCCUCAGGCUUCCGGUCUGUUUGGUGCCCUGGUCGCGUGUCUUCCGAACUCUGCUGCUUCGCCCCGGCAAGAGCACUUCCUUCCGCGGCUGCUAAAACUGGUGCGCGGGUUCCCAACUUCGCAGAAGAGCUUCAUCGGCCCCCCGCUAGAGACCUCAGACCGCAGCCAUCGACGCCUCGCCUCGGGGAUCUGUCCCCACCCUCGGGGCCAGCCCUAGCGUAGCAGGUGCUCCCUGCAGUUUUUGCUUCUGAGAUAGAGUUCUCUUUUCAGCUCCUUCGGUAGUCACUUCGUACAUAGUGAUUCAUGAUGCGAAAUCCUCUCUGUUGAAAUAACUGACGAGGCCUCUGUCUUCUGACUGGACCCUGACUUCCAUGCCCUUUCCACUCUCACUCCAGUACAUGCCCAAACCCCAAUCUUUGUUGCUCCAGGCAUUGCCUCUGUGGCGCUGUGUCCCCUCCUUUGAACUCUGAUCCUUCUGCUCAGGCCCUUUCUCCCAGUCUGAAGUAAGGAGUGAAAAAAUGUGAAUUGUUCUACUCAUCUGGAAAAGAGAACCCUGAGGCAGGAACAAGUCGUUAAUUGCAUGUGCGUUUGUCCACAGCUCACCAUGAGUCAGGCCCUGUGCUAGGUGCUGGGAUGAAGCAGUGACUGACACAGGCCUGGACCUGUCCUUGGGAAGAGUGCGUCUGUGACACAGAUACUGUGCCAUGUGGCAAAACUUGAAUGGAGACAUCAGCUCUUUGUGGGUCUCAAGUCUACUGGCUUUCAAUCAGCUCUUCUGCUUGACAGCUGCAGGUCUUGGGACUGCCCAGCCCCCAUAACCCUGUGAGUGCAUUCCUGAUAAUAACCCUCUUUCUCUUGUCCUCCCCCACCCCACAUCAUUGGUUCUGUUUCUCUGGAGAACCAUAAUACAUCAUUUACUAAUCAGGAAAUAGAUUCAGAGACAUUAAUAACUCAUCCAACCUCACAGUUAACUGUAGAGUUGGGCUUGAAAUUCCAAGGUCGAUUUUCUUAGCCAAUACACCAUGCUACAUAUAUGUAUGUAAAAAUAAAAACGCUUGUGAACUGAAAA
rnacentral:lncRNA from 1 species